UUUUUAAAUUGUGCUCUUUAGAAGGAAGUCACUAUACAUGGCUCAUAUUUAGGGUGUGGGGAGUUAUGCUCUACUUCCUUAAAAGUGAAAUAGCUACACAAAUUAUUUGGAAUUCUUCCGUAUGAGAAAGGAGAUUUGUCUAUUUUCCCACAUUUACUCAUUUAUUCAUUUAUUGACAUCAGUAUAGACUCAUGGAUAUUUGUUUUAUGGUUGGUUUGUAAUCCAAUGCUACAUUAUUUAUUUUGUUGUUCAAGUUGUUCCAGCUUUGGACUGGGAGCUCUUUCGAUUGGCUUCUGUGUCCCUUUGACGUAUGCCCAUCAUUGCAUUUGAGCAUUUUCUUACUUUCUGCCACUAUAAGAUGCUUCAGUCUCUUCUCAUAUAUGUUCUGUUCCAGUCCUAGAAUCAUCCAUUUUGUCAAGGAUCUCUGGUAUCUUUUUGGAGACUAGUAUUAGAAACAAAGAUCUCAGUGCUAAGUAUUUCAUGCCAUUUGAAAUCAACCAUCUGCACACUUCACUCAAUAUAACUGUCCCCAAUAUUUUUCCACUUUGUUUACUCUUAUUGUUCCCUUUCUUCUUAAUAAUGGAAAGCUCCCUAUCAUUAAGCUCAUUCUCAGGAUUAUCACCUGGGUGGGGAGGGUGGGGCAUAGAGUUAUGAAAAAGCUUAGCAUAAUUAUAUAAGGACUCCAAAAUUUCUCACAUUUUUAACAUUUCAUUCCUAGGUAUUUACCUCCCAAAAAGAUAAUUUCAUUUCUGGUGAUAUGCCCUCUAAUACUUACUUACCUAACUACAGCAAAAUAUGAAGCAUCCUGUUGAGAUAUUGGUGUCGAGGGAUAAUAGAACAUUCAUUAAUCCAAGUCCUUGGAUGACUUUAUGGAACACAGCUUUAUGCCACCUCCUACCCCUAACUCAUGUUGGAUAUGUAGUGUGAGCAAGAAAUACAUUUCCUAUGGUUUUAAGCCACUGAGACUUUGAAGUUAUUUGUUGCCACAGCAUAGACAUACCUGUUGAAUACAGUUACUAUGCUGGAAGAGUUUCUCACUUCUCACUAUUUUUUCACAAUGUUUCCUGAGAUUUAGUUUGCUUUCCUCCCCUUUCUCCCUUUUUACUUUUUCUCUCUUUUCUGUUCUGAUAAUCACCACUUCCUCAUACCUUCCAUCUUACCCUCUUAUGCACUCUGGUUAUUCUCCAUCUUUUUCGUCCUUCUACAUGCAUGCAGUCAUUUCCUAUGAUAUCACAACCAGUUAAGCUACCAAGGCCUAUCACUGGG
rnacentral:lncRNA from 1 species